GACGAACGCUGGCGGCGUGCCUAAUACAUGCAAGUAGAACGCUGAAGAGAGGAGCUUGCUCUUCUUGGAUGAGUUGCGAACGGGUGAGUAACGCGUAGGUAACCUGCCUUGUAGCGGGGGAUAACUAUUGGAAACGAUAGCUAAUACCGCAUAACAAUGGAUGACACAUGUCAUUUAUUUGAAAGGGGCAAUUGCUCCACUACAAGAUGGACCUGCGUUGUAUUAGCUAGUAGGUGAGGUAAUGGCUCACCUAGGCGACGAUACGUAGCCGACCUGAGAGGGUGAUCGGCCACACUGGGACUGAGACACGGCCCAGACUCCUACGGGAGGCAGCAGUAGGGAAUCUUCGGCAAUGGGGGCAACCCUGACCGAGCAACGCCGCGUGAGUGAAGAAGGUUUUCGGAUCGUAGAGCUCUGUUGUAAGUCAAGAACGGGUGUGAGAGUGGAAAGUUCACACUGUGACGGUAGCUUACCAGAAAGGGACGGCUAACUACGUG
rnacentral:rRNA from 1 species